rnacentral:miRNA from 1 species
UUUGUAUUACGUGCGGAAAUUGUUACCAUUUUUGAGCCGAAAAUGGCAACAAUUUCCGCACGUAGUACAAA